rnacentral:rRNA from 1 species
CCCUUAGAUGUUCUGGGCAGCACGCGCGCUACAAUGGUCUUCGCAAACGGAUGCAUUCUCGAAGGAGAAUGCCAAUCUUGGAAUCUAUGCCUUGGUCGGGACAGUUGCUUGCAAUUUUUCGACUCGAACCAGGAAUUCCUUGUAAUCGUGAUUCAUCACAUCACGAUGAAUACGUCCCCUUUGUACACACCGCCCGUCGCUCCUACCGAUCGAAGAGUUAGGUGAAUUGUUUUGAUCGAUAAGAUUUGACUAUGGUCAACUCUCGUUGUGAAAUUCUGUGAAUCUGACUGUUUAGAGGAAGGAAAAGUCGUAACA